GCCAAGACCCAGUCCUAUAGGGACAGACUGAUUAUGGAUGCGCCAUCCCCCUUAAACAUGUAGAUUUCUCCGGGUAAACAACCAAUGGGGAGAUCUCGCCAGGCAGGAUUUCUUUCCCCAGGGAAAUAUCCUGUGUUUCGGUGUCCUGAAAGCACAAGAAUGACAAAACUGUACUCAGUAAAUAACUUGCCCAAAGUCACACAAUUGCUGUUGGCUUAGCAGGCAGGAGCACUCACUGACAGCAUGGUGUCUCCUGAGUCCCCCCAGCCCCACGCCAUCUCUGUCCCAGACCCACAGCAGCCUGAGUCGUUCACUGUGAAACCGAGUCGCUGGGAAUGUAGUCAACAUCGAUCGGCAGGGCAGACGAAGAAGAAAGGCUCUGUGUGAGCCAGCACGUUGUUUUCCUUCAGGAAUUCCUUUUUAAUUUUACUAGUUUUUCCAUUGUCUGGCAUUUCUAAUAUGGUCACAAAAUAAAAAGGCAAUUAUUUACCUCUCUUUCCUAUCUACAGCACUCUAAGCCUCCGGUCUAAUAUGAUUUCCAUUUAGAAAAUAUUUAUGUAGCCAUUUACAAGGCCUUAUAAAGCUAAGGCAUGCCAAGAUAGCUCAGAUGUUCAAUUUACUGUGGCUAGGCUCAGUUGGCACUAAAUCAAAAGGUUUUACUAUCUAAUUUUAAUGUCAAUAUUCAUAUUUGUACACAUACACGCAAUAGACAGGCACACACUGUAUGUGGUGCGCAAUUGUCUUUAGGUAUGUGUGGCUAUUUCGAUGCACAGGGUACUUGCAUACCGACUGGCUAGUAAGUCACCGAGAUCAACUUGUAAUACCCCAGAAGAGAAAUGGCCUCCUGCUACUUAUCACAUGUCCUGUUAAAAUGUCCCUUCCCUUGAUCAUCUCCUCUCACAUAUCAAAUCUGAGAGGAGUAUUUUUAGAUCAUAGGUAUUUGAGUUGC